rnacentral:lncRNA from 1 species
CUGCAUCUGCCAACAAGACUGGAAGCAGAAAGGGACAGAGACGGCGAAGUUUGACGGUCUGGAAAGCAGAGACCAGCAGGGCUGACUGCUUGGGAGCACCAAAUAUCCGGACAGCGCCUCUCGGGAGGUCCGAGAAGAGAACCGCGAUCUGUUUCAGCACCGGGGCUCAGGACAGUUCCCAGCGGGCUCCGUUUCGUCUCCAGAACCCUGGACAGCUCCUCCAGCUUGGAAUGCACUCCCUCCACCUCCAACCAGAGCUCCCCACAACUGACCCUGCCUUCUUCUGCAAGCUCCAUUUCAUCAAGGGAAACGAUCCUUAUUGCCUCACCAUUUCCCACGUGAAGUCUGUAUUGACAUUCUCAUAGACCUGGGAUAUUGUGUCUGCAGCACAUAGUCCAAUUAUUUUCAUGUUAUCUACUGACAGGUCUAUUUGUCUCCCUGUUACACUGUGAGCUCCGUGAGGGCAGAAACAAUGUUAGUAUUUUCACUGCUGUGUCCCCAGCGCCUGGUCCGGGGCCCGGCACACAGCAGGCAUAUAAUAAGCAUGUGUUGAAUCAAUA